rnacentral:misc_RNA from 1 species
CUCUCUCUCUCUCUCUCUCUGGUUAUCAGGCAACCAUGAUCUUCGUUGAUGGGGUUCCAUUUUCUACCAUUUCCUCUCAGGAAAGUGAUACCUUGGCAGCUUUGAUGGAACAUCCUGUGCUGGUUUCUGCCUCACAUGCAUUGAAGGCAAAGCAGGAGAGGAAGUUCUCUGUCUCUGAGGAGUCAGGCUCACAAAGAUCAACACAGAGUCGAUAUGUUUACAUCUUCCAAAGAGAAUACGCAACUGUCGACCCUGCACUUGUGGAUUUUGUUGGCACUGAUGAAGCAACUACUUGUGUGGGCCUUGUUAUUCGCAACCAGAAAAAUGGAAUGUAAGGAAUCGAUUUCAUUAGAGAUUGACUACAAUAUGGAAUUUGAAAAUUCAUCGUUGAAGUUAGAAUUUUUUACUUUGCAUUUCUGAUUCCUUCAUUUACUUGCAGGGUAUCUGUUGCCCAUAUGGAUUCUCCAAAAAUUGUUGAUAUGGGCUUUGACCAGAUGUUGUCACUUCUUGUUGAUCAAAAUGUUGACAUUGACUUGGAUGUGCACAUGAUUGGUGGUUUUGAAGAUGUUACCCUCAAACAUGCUAAUGGCACCACUUGGUCUGAAAGCCAUGCGAAAUCAGAUGGUUAUUCUUUUCCAUUAUGCAAAAAAAUGAUUGAAACUAUGGAGAAGAGACGAGAAAAGUUUCACAUUCAAACUCUCUUUGUCCUUGGGCAUAACACCAAGAGAGAUUCUCAAGGGAAUGCAUACCCAAUCUUCAAUGGCUUCUUGGUAGUUUCAAGUAUUAAUUCCUUCUUUUUAUUGUUUGCAUUGAAAUGAAUAAAUAAUGAACUAGUUGUUUACAUUUGAUUAAACACUAUGGAAAGUUCACUUCUAUGUGUUGAAAGGUAUAUCAUUCGUGGAGCAAAGUAUCUACCUGUGAAAUGAGGAGCCUAGGAAAUUUCUUUUAUAACAUUUCUUAGAUUAGAUCUACCUGUCCUGUCUACUCAUCUAGCCUUAUUUUAUAUAGAAGCGAUGCUAAAGAAACUGUAAAUUCAUGACCAGAGCAUGGCAAUGGAAGGGCCAAGUCAUAUACAGACAAAUAUAUUAUUAUUUAAUGGUAAACUUGUAGCAGUGCUGGAUCUGAAGUCUAGGCAGACAAUACCAAAGUGGCAAGAAGAGUGGCUAAGAGUAAAGUUCAAUAAAUGAGAGAAUGCAAUUAUGAAAUGCUGUUAAAAUGUAAGCUAUAUUAAAUUCAUCAAAAAUAAUUCAACCAUUUGUUAGUAUCAAAGUAUUAAUUUCCUUUGCAGUUGAAUUUCCCAAAGGAUUCUAACUUGCCCUUAUUUCUGUUGGUGGAAAUUGUUCUUUAUGGACCAAUAAGUACUCAAUAUUGCUUGCCAAUAAUUUAAAUGUGUGGUACUUAUGUUUUUAGGACAAGGUAUAUUGAGUAGCAUUUCAUUUAGUUGUUAAAACUUUUACAAAGAUUUGGUUUCAAUGAUGUAGACUCUGAUUUCUUUUUCCACCUUGUCAGGUUGAAACAUCCACUGGAUCUCUCACUCCAGCCAGUUUUGAGAGAGCUACAAGAUGUCCAGAUGAAAUUGUCAGAAGAAUUCGAGUGAGUGCAGCAUAUGAAGAUCCGACUUGGAAUGGCAAGUUGCUGGAGUCAUAUGAUACUCUAGCUGAUCGAUUUGUGAUUGCUUCAUGUUGUUGGUAUUGUUGCUUAAUUUGCAUAAAUCCCUGCCUUUGAAAUUUUUCAAAAGCUGUUGCCUUGAUGAUGAAUAUUAUAGAGGUCUACACAUGCUGGUCACUAUCAUAGUAUACAUUCCACAAAUUCUGUCGUCUUCUUACCUCUGUCUAAAGUAAUUACCAAACCUUUAUUCAUUGAAAAUAUGUUGGUGUUAUUUAUUAUUUUACUGAUGCAGGACCUCAAAUCAACGAUACAUUGCUUUGAGACUGGAACAACUUUCUGAUGCAGAUAUCCUACUUAACUGUUCCACUUCACCAUCUGCAGAGGGUCCAGAUUUUGUGGAUAAUGAAAGAAGGCAAUGGGAGUACAUAAUUAAACAUCCAGACUGGCAAUAUACUUUUCCUCUGAGGCAGCCACGCAUUUUUAAGAGGACUGCUGAUGGAGGCUGGAAGAGUUGCUUACCAACAUCAGAGGAUUCCUCACAAGAACCUCAGGCUGAAACUUCAUUGCAGAUGACCUAAAUUUCAUGGAAGAAUAUGCUUCUUCUCUCCACCAAGUGAGUGUUGAUGAUCAUGGUAAAUGUAAAAUCUUCAUUUAUUUGAAACUAUACUUUAUUAGGCCAUGGCAACUCAUUUGCAAUUCUUGUGAUAACCAUAUCUCCAUAACUGGAUUAUUGAUUGCAAAACAAUUAUGCAAUUGAUAGAGACUAGGUUCAUGUGAGAAUUUCUCGCAUUUGCGUAUGUGAACAUGUUUUGUCCUUAAUUUGAGAGGGAAGUUGGAUGUGAGGGAUCAACCAUUGCCACGUUGCCUUCAAAAGUUAUCCCACAAGUCAAUAGAGGCUUUCCUUAACUUCAGCCAAAUGUGGUAGCUGACAAAUUUAACACUGAAAGCUCAGUACCAACUAAACCCAACUAUGUACCUACUCCAAAUUUAGCCGCCCAUCUUUAACUCUGGUGUAGGGUUUCCAUUCUAGCAAGUACCAUUUCCAUCAAAUUCCCCAAUGACCAGAGGCCGCUCUUUAAAUCAAAACUUCCCUUCUCAAUCUUAGGCUUCCUUCACCGAUCUGGAUUCAUAACCGGAGAAAAGAAAACAGGUCGGUUUUUCAAGCUCUCAAAUUGUCCCUACGGCUCCUGUAACCAUUUGACCUUCGGAGUCAGGGCUGCAGUUGCUUGUUUUGGCUCUUCACUCACCACUCCGGUGCCUGUUGGCUGUACCUACCUUCCUCCACUGUAGAACUGAACUGGCUGACUUCCCUAUUAGGUCCAAACAAUAAUAUUUCUCCAACCCUUAAGACUCAGCUUCAAGACUCCAGGAGAGGAUCAAGAAAGUUAUAUUACCAGUUCUAAGGUGGUGCAGACGAUGUUUUCAGGCUUGGACGUGAAUGCAAGAAAGGCAGCGCUGGUGAGGAAGCUGGCGGUGGUAAGGUUCUUGUGUACCAUGAUUUUUCAAAGACAGAUGAGAUGGCUGAGAUUACUUCUUGGAUACGGCUGUGUUGAAAUAUAGACUUCAUUGCUAUACCUCUUACAUAAACUCCAUCCAUUUAUUUAAUUAUUUAUUUUUAUAUUUUAACGUAAGGGAGGGGAGAUGUUAGGGUUUGUAGUUUUAGAUAAUAUUUUUUUUAAAUAUAUAUUUUAUAAUUAUUCGAGAUGAAAUAGUUAAUUGUUAGUUAUUAUUGUUAUACAAAAAUACAAAUUACAAUGGCAAGUGCUGAAUUACAGAAUAAAGAAAGUUGAGAUUUUUAGUUAUUAUUAUUUUGUCCAUUUUUAUCUGUCACUCUUAGAAGUGAUUUUAUUCAUAGUUAUUAAUUAUUUUGAGAAUAUUAAGG